rnacentral:rRNA from 1 species
UACGGAGGGUGCAAGCAUUAAUCGGAUUUAUUGGGCGUAAAGGGCGCGUAGGCGGAGAUAAUAGUCAGAUGUGAAAUCCUGGGGCUCAACCUCAGAACUGCAUUUGAAACUGUAUCUCUAGAGGGUAGGAGGAGAAAACGGAAUUCCACAAGUAGCGGUGAAAUGCGUAGAGAUGUGGAAGAACACCGGUGGCGAAGGCGGUUUUCUAUCUUAUACCUGACGCUGAGGCGCGAAAGCAAGGGGAUCAAACAGG